rnacentral:rRNA from 1 species
GACGAACGCUGGCGGCGUGCCUAAUACAUGCAAGUCGAACGAACCGCGACUAAGUGCUUGCACUAAGUCAAGGUGAGUGGCGAACGGGUGAGUAACACGUGGGUAACCUACCUCAUAGUGGGGGAUAACAGUCGGAAACGACUGCUAAUACCGCAUAGGACAUAGGAUCACAUGAUCCAGUGAGGAAAGGUGGCGCAAGCUAUCGCUAAGAGAUGGACUCGCGGUGCAUUAGCUAGUUGGUAGGGUAAAGGCCUACCAAGGCGAUGAUGCAUAGCCGACCUGAGAGGGUGAUCGGCCACAUUGGGACUGAGACACGGCCCAAACUCCUACGGGAGGCAGCAGUAGGGAAUCUUCCGCAAUGGACGCAAGUCUGACGGAGCAACGCCGCGUGAGUGAAGAAGGUCUUCGGAUCGUAAAGCUCUGUUGUUAGAGAAGACCAGCGCAUAGAGUAACUGCUAUGCGUGUGACGGUAUCUAACCAGAAAGCCACGGCUAACUACGUG